UACGUAGGGUGCGAGCGUUAAUCGGAAUUACUGGGCGUAAAGGGUGCGCAGGCGGCGUCGCAAGUCAGGCGUGAAAUCCCCGGGCUUAACCUGGGAACUGCAUUUGAUACUGGGUUGCUUGAAUUCGGGAGAGGAUAGCGGAAUUCCCAGUGUAGAGGUGAAAUUCGUAGAUAUUGGGAAGAACACCGGUGGCGAAGGCGGCUAUCUGGACCGACAUUGACGCUGAGGCGCGAAAGGGUGGGGAGCAAACAGG
rnacentral:rRNA from 1 species